AGUGAACGCUGGCGGUAGGCCUAACACAUGCAAGUCGAACGGCAGCACAGUGAGAGCUUGCUCUUACGGGUGGCGAGUGGCGGACGGGUGAGGAAUACAUCGGAAUCUACUUUUUCGGGGGGGAUAACGUAGGGAAACUUACGCUAAUACCGCAUACGACCUACGGGUGAAAGCAGGGGAUCUUCGGACCUUGCGCGAUUGAAUGAGCCGAUGUCGGAUUAGCUAGUUGGCGGGGUAAAGGCCCACCAAGGCGACGAUCCGUAGCUGGUCUGAGAGGCUGAUCAGCCACACUGGAACUGAGACACGGUCCAGACUCCUACGGGAGGCAGCAGUGGGGAAUAUUGGACAUAGGGCGCAAGCCUGAUCCAGCCAUACCGCGUGGGUGAAGAAGGCCUUCGGGUUGUAAAGCCCUUUUGUUGGGAAAGAAAAGCAGCAGGUUAAUACCCCGCUGUUCUGACGGUACCCAAAGAAUAAGCACCGGCUAACUUCGUG
rnacentral:rRNA from 1 species